CCUACGGGAGGCUGCAGUGAGGAAUAUUGGUCAAUGGACGAGAGUCUGAACCAGCCAAGUAGCGUGAAGGAUGACUGCCCUAUGGGUUGUAAACUUCUUUUAUAUGGGAAUAAAAUGUUCCACGUGUGGGAUUUUGUAUGUACCAUAUGAAUAAGGAUCGGCUAACUCCGUGCCAGCAGCCGCGGUAAUACGGCGGAUCCGAGCGUUAUCCGGAUUUAUUGGGUUUAAAGGGAGCGUAGGUGGAUUGUUAAGUCAGUUGUGAAAGUUUGCGGCUCAACCGUAAAAUUGCAGUUGAAACUGGCAGUCUUGAGUACAGUAGAGGUGGGCGGAAUUCGUGGUGUAGCGGUGAAAUGCUUAGAUAUCACGAAGAACUCCGAUUGCGAAGGCAGUUCACUGGACUGCAACUGACACUGAGGCUCGAAAGUGUGGGUAUCAAACAGGAUUAGAUACCUCAGUAGUC
rnacentral:rRNA from 1 species